rnacentral:rRNA from 1 species
CGGAGGGUGCGAGCGUUGUCCGGAAUCACUGGGCGUAAAGGGCGCGUAGGUGGUCCUUUAAGCGUGUGGUGAAAGCUCGGGGCUCAACCUCGAGUCGGCCAUGCGAACUGGGGGACUGGAGCACUGUAGAGGCAGGUGGAAUUCCGGGUGUAGCGGUGGAAUGCGUAGAGAUCCGGAAGAACACCGGUGGCGAAGGCGGCCUGCUGGGCAGUUGCUGACACUGAGGCGCGACAGCGUGGGGAGCAAACAGGAUUAGAUACCCUGGUAGUCCACGCCGUAAACGAUGGGCACUAGGUGCUUCGGGGAGCGACCCUCGGAGUGCCGGCGCUAACGCAUUAAGUGCCCCGCCUGGGGAGUACGGCCGCAAGGCUG